UGACAAAUUUUUAUAUUGAUCAUAAUUUUUGCAAAAAUAGGGGGUUACACAGAUAUUGGUGAAAUUUGCAUGACAUCUACCCAAUACUUCAGUCUCUAAUAAUUUAACUUUUUCCCAAACUAGGUCUAUUUGAGUUUGUAAAUUCAGUACUGCAGCUCGAACAUCUUGGAAGAAGAUAGCGGUCUCGCCGAAGGCUUGAGAUAUAUUAUGGGCCAAUUGAUUCAUGACCACUGCAGUCGUAAUCUGGUUUUGGAGGGUCAUGGCAGCAGUCGCUGCAGCAGAGACGGCGGCGACCACUGGGACUAUGAUAGCGACAACAGCAGAAACGCCAAAAUCUCAUUUUCUUCGAGGGUGUAGCUUCAGGUUGAAUAAAGGGUCUGAAUCUUGCCAAUCUUCGAUAUAUAGGCGCCAUGUCAAGGUGGCAUUCAGCAAAGAAACCAUGGAGCUCACUGAAGCCUGUUAUGUACAAACAAGAGCAUCGAUUCCGGAUGAAAAACAUUCCAGCAGUCUUGCUUCCCUCUUUAAAACUGGGCAUAUCAAUAAUUCAUUUUCACCAAGCUGUGGGGAAGCUAUAUAUUAUUGAUGAGAUCAUGUUUUAUAGAGUUUCAGAAUUUCUAGCUCUUCCAGAUCUCUCAUCUUCCCUGAAUUAUUGUGAAAAGAAAACUCAAAA
rnacentral:lncRNA from 1 species